UGGCUCAGUAGUUAAGAGCACUGACUGCUCUUUCAGAGGACCUGGGUUCAAUUCCCAG
rnacentral:tRNA from 1 species